rnacentral:rRNA from 1 species
CCUACGGGUGGCAGCAGUAGGGAAUAUUGCUCAAUGGGCGAAACCCUGAAGCAGCAACGCCGCGUGGAGGAUGAAGGUUUUCGGAUUGUAAAAUCCUUUUGUUAGAGAAGAUAAUGACGGUAUCUAACGAAUAAGCACCGGCUAACUCCGUGACAGCAGCCGCGGUAAUACGGCGGGUGCAAGCGUUACUCGGAAUCAAUGGGCGUAAAGAGCGCGUAGGCGGGAUAGCAAGUCAGAUGUGAAAUUCGAUGGCUUAACCAUAGAACUGCAUUUGAAACUGUUAUUCUAGAGUAUGGGAGAGGUAGGUGGAAUUCGUGGUGUAGGGGUAAAAUGCGUAGAGAUCAAGAGGAAGACUGAUUGCGAAGGCGACCUGCUGGAACAUAACUGACGCUGAUGCGCGAAAGCGUGGGGAGCAAACAGGAUUAGAUACCCCAGUAGUC